rnacentral:rRNA from 1 species
CAAGGCGACGAUCCCUAGCUGGUCUGAGAGGAUGACCAGCCACACUGGAACUGAGACACGGUCCAGACUCCUACGGGAGGCAGCAGUGGGGAAUAUUGCACAAUGGGCGCAAGCCUGAUGCAGCCAUGCCGCGUGUAUGAAGAAGGCCUUCGGGUUGUAAAGUACUUUCAGCGGGGAGGAAGGUGUUGUGGUUAAUAACCACAGCAAUUGACGUUACCCGCAGAAGAAGCACCGGCUAACUCCGUGCCAGCAGCCGCGGUAAUACGGAGGGUGCAAGCGUUAAUCGGAAUUACUGGGCGUAAAGCGCACGCAGGCGGUCUGUCAAGUCGGAUGUGAAAUCCCCGGGCUCAACCUGGGAACUGCAUUCGAAACUGGCAGGCUUGAGUCUUGUAGAGGGGGGUAGAAUUCCAGGUGUAGCGGUGAAAUGCGUAGAGAUCUGGAGGA